CUGGCAGACUAUUGUUCUGUCCUGGGAAAGGACGAUGAGAUGAGAGCUGUUUCCACUCCCUGCUCCAGGGCCCGGGUUGAGGUCUCAGAUGUGAAGCCCUGGAGUGAAAUGUCCCACAGGAGCCACCCCUGGGCCUGAGUUUGGGGCCUUACUUUGCAGAGGUUUGGCAGACAAGCUCACAGGCUUUACUCAUGUUUGGGGAGGAAAGAAGUGAUGCCAGAGUGAAGUAGCAAGAAGAAGAAUCGGUUGUGUUGAGUCAUGUCUGCUGCAGCUGUUUGUGGACUGGAUUGAAGCAGAAGUCGGGUCAGUUUUCAUCUGCCCGGACAAAAGCAACUACAAUAUGUAUGGUUCCCACUGCCCCACCUCUUGCUCUGCAGCCUCCUCGGUGGGCAGUGCUGAGGGCUGCGUCUGCCUGGCUAACCUCAUCUCCAGUGGAACCGACUGCAUCCUGGCCUCAGCUUAUGGCUGCCUUGGCCCAGCAGCACCUACCACCCGGUGGGAGACGCCCGAUUUGAGGAGGAGUGCUUUGAGUGCUGUACGUGCCGUGGUCCCGGGGACCUGACAUGCAAGCACAGCCAGAGCCCGCCUUCAAGGACUGUUGGUUCCAGGACAGCAAGAAGGACUGCCAGCCCCUUGGUGACUGUGCCUGGCUCUGGGGUGGGGAGAACAGGGCCCGGGAUGCAGACAGCUCCCCACAUGGCUAAACCAUGGCAGAAAGCUGCAUAUAGUAGCAUCUCCAGCUACCUUGCCGCUAGCAUUUUAUGUGUACAUUUUACACCUAAAAUGUAUGACUUGACUUUUACCCUGACCAUGGAGGAUUUUCUGUUCAGCCUGUUUUGCACAAACUAUUCGUGCACCUUUAGGACAAAGCUUGUAACAGUAUGUGCAAGAAAUAUAUUCCGGCUUCAGGAAUGCAAAUGCUGCAGAGACGAGUGCAUGGGCUGAAUGUAUGCCUUUGCAUCGGUGAGAUAUACCGUACCCAGCACAGAAAAGUGAGCUGGCCAUAGACUUUUUAACACCUUCUGUGGGAUGCUUGUACUAGUAUAAGGAUUUAGUCCACAUAUUUCUUAUACAAAACACAGUGUGUGUCACUUUUCUUUUUACAAUAAGAAAACAUUUGUCUAUCUGCUUUAUAUUUUAGUGGGUACAAUGUAAAGGUGGUUUUCUCUCAAAAAUGAAAGGUCAGAAAGAAGGGGAGGAGGAAGGGAAAGGAGGCACUGACAGAGUUGAGUGAGCUUUACCCUUCCUUUGCUUGCAACCAGUUGCUGAGGCUCUCAUGUCUGCGUUGUCUUGUGUUUCAGAGCAUGCUUUCAGAUGAAAGAAGCCAGAAAGCUCUCGACCAAAGACUGGAGGUACAAUGCAUGUUAUUCAUGCUCCAUGUGUCAACUUGGAGCAGAAAGUGAAAGCUACCCGCUAGCAGCAGAGGCACAAUGCCCAUGGGUCCCUACUCCAUUUUAAUCAGCCCUAACAUCAAGGCUACACACAGUCAGUUCAAACCUCUAUCCAUCACCGCCAAUUCCAAGCAGUCUCGUCUACCCUAGCACUAAGGCUGCACCAACCUACUCCACCCAUGUUGUCACAGCCACUAGUCCCACCAAACGUACACCACGCUACCUCCUAGCAGUAGCCGUCCAAGCCGACUACUACUUCACCCCCUGCCCUGUAGCCAUCAAAUCCCAACACCCUGACCUCUCCAACCCUCCACAUUAUACGCAACCAAGCUAAUGCCACUCUAUGCUUCACCCUCUAAAUGAGGCUUCUGAAUGUCCCUAUGCUUCUACCAACUCCAGCCUCAUGAAAAGGGCAGUCUCUACCCAAAGGACAAAAAGAAAGUAUAGGGAAAAAGAAGCCAAGAUUAGAAUAAAGACAGUAGAGGCAAGAUAGGAGGCAAGGCUGCAGGAGGAGAGUCGAGACAAGGCAGUGAGGCAGGAGUGGGGAAAUCGGGACAGGGAAGAAGAGGAUUCACGAGGCUGACUGGCACAUAAUGCAUUAAGGGGGGUCCCCAAGCAGGGCCAGGGGACAACAGCCCUGGGGCAGAGACAGUUGAGCAGUAGAUGGGGGGCAAGGAGGAACAGGGAUGACUUGACAUGGCGUAGCCUAGGCUACGGUGCAGACCUCCCUACUCGGCACUUGGUGCUUUGGGCUGUGUAGCUGCUGGAGCCCCACAAGGACAGCUGUGGGUGAUCCUCCCUUCACACUAACUGGGCCAAGUGGCAUUUCCCUUGGGUUGCCUUGUGAGUAGCAAAGACAACUGUUUUUGGUUUUGCUGAAUGUGCCAUAGUUAGGGUGGCCUUUAGUUGGUGCUGUUGAGCUUGUCCUGUUUCCAUGGACUAUGGACGUGUUAUAUUUGGCAAUGGGUAGGGGGAGGAGAGUCUGCAAAUGUUAGAGCAGCCAGUCAGAACUUACUUUCUUGGUUUUCUGUCUGGGGCUAGAGCCAGGGCGAGGAAGGUGCUGUUCAGCCCCAGAAUCUGAACCCGGUCCUCAGUGCUGACAGAAAGUUACGCUUGCUUUGCAUCCCCUCUUGGUCUCUCACCCAGUGAUCCUGACCAACUUAAAGGCUUGGAUGCUUUGGCCUUUGCUCAGUGCUGCUGCCCUUGGGAGUGGGAGCUUUAUUCAGAUGCUACUGUGUGCCCCCCAGGGGUUCAUUGGUAAAGCUCUGGAAAGAGGUGUCCCGUGGUACCAUCUGUGUGGUAUUCCUAAUAACCCUUCUUUCACAGCAAAUAGCUGAUAGCUCGCUAUAGUCAAGUUGGGCAGGUUCGACCAUUUACUCACAGUGACAUACUGUAUGGUGGCUCCAUCCUGCUUCUGAACCCAAGUUAAUCCAGAUGGAGAAAGAUAGUUGUGAUCCUUAUUUCCAUCGGAGUCUGCCAAAAAGCGGUCAGGCAGGCACCCCUCUUAUGCAUUAGGAAUAGAAAAUGUUGCCACUUUGCAUGGUUCUGGCCGUUCCUCCUGAGUCUGUAUUUAGGAGGGACUUGGGGCUAUGUUGAAAUGCCACCAACACUCGAAGCUCAGGCUAUCAGUGUAAUGGCCUGAAUUUGGGCUGGUUUGAUUUCCCAAACCAUUUGUGGUGUUACGUAAAACUUGUGAGCACUGUUCUUUAUAACAUGCAGUAUAUUUGGUGAUCUUUAAGCUGUUACUUUUUUCUAGGAUUCUGUUCUGCUGAUUUCCUUGUCCUUGGAGGGUAUGUCCUCGCACCUUUUGGCUUCCUGCUUCCAUUUUUAUGUACGGAUUGUAUUGUAUCAUUAGAGGGCCAAAGAUCAGGGCCCCUUUCUGGUAGGCCCCGUAGAUGUAGUUGUCAUAGUAGCUAGUGUCUCCAAGAGAAGGGUUUUUUUUGGUCCGUUCCGGUUUCCUCAGUACUGCCUGUGCGAGCUCCUGUUCAACUUGUACAAGCACUAGUGCUGAGCAGUGGGGAUCCAAUAUCUGAAAAAGUCUACUCGCCCUUGCACUGCUGAAUAGCGGAAACACCGGGUUUGGUUUUCAUUCUCAUUGUUUGCAAGGAAGACUGGAGAAUGGAUCGGUGGGAUGGAGGUGUUUUUUCCUCAAAGAAGUUCAGCCUUUCUGACAGUCAGGUUAUUGGAAGCUGGACGUGGCAGUAUGUCUUGACAGUUUUGUAUAUGGGCCUUAAAGGGCACCCUUUGGUCAUGUAGAGCCUGUCCUCUGGAACAACCUUCUUGCACCCCUGCUCCUCAGCAACAUUUUCAGUUUCAUGAGUAGCCCUGACACUAUGGCCUGAAUAUCUCUCCCUUGAUUUGUAUUUCUUUUAAAAAAUCCUUAUGUAUUGGAGCACUGGACUUAACUGCUUUUAGCAGUAGGUCUGGGAGGGUGUUAUAAUUGGGUCUACUUGAGCAGCUCACACAUAGUAUGGUCAUUAGUGGUAUUUAUUAUGGGGAGACCGAGACAUGCCUUGCACUGGUUUUGGAAAGUGAGGAGUAUGGUUUUUGAAAGCUUACCUGUAAGAUUUCUGCUGUUUUUCACAGAACUGUCAGGCUUUGUGUCCAGCUCUAGUUAUUUCAGUGCAGAGUUGCAUUAUGCUGGGAGUCUAAGGAGGAUAUGGUACUUAGGGAGGGUGAUAUUUAGCAUAUAGGGCAAAUGGCAUAUGUUGGUAGAUCACACCUUUUACUGGACUACACUCUGGUUGUAGGUCCAGGAAGCAGGAUGGCUGUUGUGAGAGACAGCAUGCCUGGGCCUCAUGUUGCUGCAUCACUGCAUCUCUCUUGUCUGUUAUAGCUAGUCAGUAAUGUCCUUGUUGUACCCACAUUUCUUAAGCAGUAUGCCCCACUUUUUGAAAAAGCUAGGUAUCACUAUGAAAUGAUUGCUUUUCGGGUGGAUGUGUAAGACCCCUGACACUUGAUGGAAUGAAUUGGUUGCCUAGCGUUUCCUAUACCCAGAGCCAUAAACACCUGCAUUAUUUAUUAAAUAAUUAGGCACUGAAUUAUUUAUUAAAUAUGUACCAUAAACAUA